AGGUUUGGGCAGAGUUGUCCCUUGGGUACGGUGAAUCGGGGUGACUGCCUCGGGUCCUGCACUUUGGAGGGCCCCGCGCUUGGAUGAAAUCAUGAGGAAGCGGAUGGGGAGAUUCUGAUAUAGAUAAGAAAGAUUUGUAAAUGUGUGCGGAUCCCUCCAAGCAGUUCUACCUCUGAAUUUUGGAUUGUGAUUUUAUCAGGAGUUAACCUUUAAAAUCUACAGCCUGCCGUUAGAGACCUUCAAAUAAAAAAAAGGUAACUUACCUUCCAAAUGCAUUUAGGAGAGCAACUAUUUCUUGACGUGUGAGUUGAAAACCUUUUGACGGGCUAUUCUCGGGAAGGUUCUGAAUCUCUUUUUCAGAGAAUAAAAUCUUUAGAGCAGUUCCUAAGCCUUGAGUCUAAAAGAAAUUCAGCAUUUUUAACCAUUAAUAAAGCAGUCUAGUUCACCCUUGCAAAUUGUCAAGAGAAAUUUACUUAUUCAGGCAUAACUCCUUCUUACAUACAACACUGCCUUCCCCUUCAACACCUGGACAUGCUCCCACAUGUACCAGUACACACCUAACAAUGUGCAUGCACUCCUCCAAUUACACACCACGUUCAUCCUCUCUCUUUUACACAUACUCCUCACCUUCAAAUUAAUGAAUUCUCUUCCCAUCACCAUCAAAUUUCAGUUCUUCCCUCUCCCUAGCCGCUUCCUCCCAAAUUCAUGAUUUUUCUUCUCUGCCGAACCAAAUCUACUACCACAAAGCAGCAGCUCUUCAAGGUUGCUAAAGCCACCUGAGCCCCUCUCCCCUAAUCAGGCAUCCUCAUGGCUGCCUCAAAAACCUCUCCCCCUCAAUCAAACCAUUAGGCUCCUCACCUCCUGGCUGCUCCACUUUCCCUGCAGAGGCUAAAGUAGUAACACUGAAAGAGGGAGAGGUUUCUGCUUUAACUCCUUCCUUUGUGUGUAGAAAGUGGCUAUUAGAGAUUCUGAAGUGCUAAGGUGCCAGUUACCUUCUAUUCCUCCCCCCCCCCACACACACAUACUUCUAUGGCCUUUGAGCAGGGGAUUGGACUAGAUGGCCUCCUGAGGUCUCUUCCAACUCUAAUAUUCUAUGAUUCUAUUAUAAGGACCCAUUGGAUCUGAGCAGGAGGCAGUGGUUGGGGACAGUUUCAAGAGGAUGCUGCAGGGCAGGAGAGGUGUGUGCCUGGCUUAAGUUGGCCUCUCAUGAGGAGAAAAAAGGAUAGUGGAAGCACAGAGGAGCCAGUGAGGGGGGGAUCCUGAGGAUUCAGCAGAGGUCAUUACAUUUGCUCCUCCACUUAUUCUGCUGCUGAGCUGAAGGAGGGUGAGUGGCGCUCCCUACAUGCCUGAUGGUGUAAUGCCAGCAAUUGCUCUCACAGUAUUGGUUAUUCUCAGUUCACAUUUUUAAGACUAUUUCCAACACUCAGGGGUAGUAACUUUAAAUUCUGCUUUUAAUUUAAGUUUAAGAUCUGCAGAAGUCAAGACAUUGGUAGUGUUAUCAACACUUGCAGUUUUAUUGUGAGUCUUGUAACAUUUGGCUUCUUUCUUAAAGCUGCAGUUCCUGAAGGCUAAUGAAUACAUGAGAAUCUCAGCUUUCAUUUUAAAAAAGGUUCUAGCCCUAAUGGUUGCAGAGAGAAGUCUGAAAUCAUGAAGUAAGGAGGACACCCUAAAGAUGCAGAAACUAGAAAGCAAACAGAGUGUCCACAAAUAUUUGAAGUCUCAGGAUUCUUAAAUCAAUCUCAUAAUUUCUGAAUGCUUGAUACCUUUGGUUGCUAUCAGUAUUAAACCUGCUUGGCAUUUUAAGGCAAUUAAAAGGUAAAAAAUUGCUUUUUGCUGCUAACUGUUCUUAUUCUCGGUCUUAAAACCAAUUCUGCUUGUAUAAAUGAGCGGUUCAACCACCCCUGCUUUCCAAAA